rnacentral:sRNA from 1 species
GGAUGUCACUUUUAUCGACUAAAAGGAGGUAUUAUAUCGGAAAGCUAGAGGGCGAAUUUCGAAUGUUUUUAGGAUUGCGGGAGCGCAAAGUGCGGAGCAAUCCGUAGGUAUCA